rnacentral:lncRNA from 1 species
CAUCAUUCCUCCUAUAGGGAUGAACCUUUUCCUGGCACGAAAAGUAGCCGCUCUGGUUGAAGUUUUGCUUAUUGUAACAGGCUUUUGUUUCCAGGUAACAUGUCUGUGGAGGACUUAUUUCUGAAUAGAUAUAUAGAUAUUACUGGAAACUACUUGUUUUUUUCUAUUAUACUCUGCUUUAUCAAAGAAGUAAAACAUUUAAAUUGUGCUACAGAAAUUCAGAUGUUGUCUUGCAAUCUUUAAACAAUAAAUGAAUGAUUUGCCC